UAUAAAAUGUUGUAUAGCAUAAAGAAUUUUGAUUUCUUUGGUAUUAGUUUAUUCUAAUUUUUAUAU
rnacentral:tRNA from 1 species